GACGAACGCUGGCGGCGUGCUUAACACAUGCAAGUCGAACGGAAAGGCCCUGCGUUUGUGGGGUGCUCGAGUGGCGAACGGGUGAGUAACACGUGAGUAACCUGCCCUUGACUUUGGGAUAACUUCAGGAAACUGGGGCUAAUACCGGAUAGGAGCUCCUGCUGCAUGGUGGGGGUUGGAAAGUUUCGGCGGUUGGGGAUGGACUCGCGGCUUAUCAGCUUGUUGGUGGGGUAGUGGCUUACCAAGGCUUUGACGGGUAGCCGGCCUGGGAGGGUGACCGGCCACAUUGGGACUGAGAGACGGCCCAGACUCCUACGGGAGGCAGCAGUGGGGAAUAUUGCACAAUGGGCGGAAGCCUGAUGCAGCAACGCCGCGUGCGGGAUGACGGCCUUCGGGUUGUAAACCGCUUUCGCCUGUGACGAAGCGUGAGUGACGGUAAUGGGUAAAGAAGCACCGGCUAACUACGUG
rnacentral:rRNA from 1 species